rnacentral:rRNA from 1 species
GAUGAACGCUGGCGGCGUGCCUAAUACAUGCAAGUCGAGCGAACAGACGAGGAGCUUGCUCCUCUGACGUUAGCGGCGGACGGGUGAGUAACACGUGGAUAACCUACCUAUAAGACUGGGAUAACUUCGGGAAACCGGAGCUAAUACCGGAUAAUAUAUUGAACUGCAUGGUUCAAUAGUGAAAGACGGUUUUGCUGUCACUUAUAGAUGGAUCCGCGCCGCAUUAGCUAGUUGGUAAGGUAACGGCUUACCAAGGCAACGAUGCGUAGCCGACCUGAGAGGGUGAUCGGCCACACUGGAACUGAGACACGGUCCAGACUCCUACGGGAGGCAGCAGUAGGGAAUCUUCCGCAAUGGGCGAAAGCCUGACGGAGCAACGCGGCGUGAGUGAUGAAGGUCUUCGGAUCGUAAAACUCUGUUAUUAGGGAAGAACAAAUGUGUAAGUAACUAUGCACGUCUUGACGGUACCUAAUCAGAAAGCCACGGCUAACUACGUG